GGAUUUUCAUCCCCGGUCAGCCAGUAAACUCUCACUCCUGUCUUUGCUUCUUUUAGCAGAUAAACGAAGAGCACAGGAAGAUGUCUGACGCAAUGCUUCAACUGAACACCUAAAUCAAAGCCAAAGCCCAAGAUCACGUCAGCUCGUCGGCUGGGCUUGAAGAGGUGACCGACUGGUGUAAGAAUGUGGAGGCCAUCUCUGGAAUGGAGGGCCGGAAGAAGCUGUUUGAUGCUGGACAAUAAGAGUUGGGAGCAACACCAAAUCAGAGAUGGCCUCAAAUGUUUCAUACAGUAAUGCUGUAAUAUUUCAUUUUAAGGCAAACGGAUCAUUGCUAACAUCAUUUAUCAUCAUCUUAAAAAAUAACUUAAAAAAUAAACAUAUAGAAUUAGUCCACACCAAUGCAUGAUGAUGUUCUGUUUAUUAUAAGUCUGUACUUAAAGGAUU